rnacentral:rRNA from 1 species
GACGAACGCUGGCGGCGUGCUUAACACAUGCAAGUCGAACGGAAAGGCCCUGCUUUUGUGGGGUGCUCGAUUGGCGAACGGGUGAGUAACACGUGAGUAACCUGCCCUUGACUUUGGGAUAACUUCAGGAAACUGGGGCUAAUACCGGAUAGGAGCUCCUGCUGCACGGUGGGGGAUGGAAAGAUUCGGCGGUUGGGGAUGGACUCGCGGCUUAUCAGCCUGUUGGUGGGGUAGUGGCUUACCAAGGCUUUGACGGGUAGCCGGCCUGGGAGGGUGACCGGCCACCUUGGGCCUGCGAGACGGACCAGAAUCCUACGGGAGGCAGCAGUGGGGAGUAUUGCACAGUGGGCGGAAGCCAGAUGCAGAAACGCCGCGUGCGGGAUGCCGGCCUUCGGGUUGUAAACCGCUUUCGCAUGUGCCGAAGCGUGAGUGACGGUAAUGGGUAAAGAAGCACCGGCUAACUACGUG